UCAAAGCCUAAAAGGACAGAAAAGUCACCGAUCAAGUCAAAAGAGAGACAUAUACUCCAUUUUCUCUGGAUUUGACUUGAGGGGGGGUCUUUACAUGAAAGACUGCACGUUGAGCUGCAAAUGGGCCCAGCUUCUGGAAAGGGGGCCCUCACACGUAGGGCCUAGAGAAGUGGGGUUGUUAGCAGCAGAAGGGGAAAAGCAACUCUGGAGAUUUGAUCACAAACAAGUAACACCCUCUUUUCCUUCCUUCAGGCUCUUCCGGUCCCUCUGCUGCCUGAGGCCAGGGAAGGAAGAGGUACCUAAUAGGACAGCCACACCUUGGGAAGCUGAGAAUUUGGUGACUAAGAACCAGAUACAGUGAGACCAGUGGAAUUGCCAGAGUUGUGCCCAGAGAGCUCACUGUGAACUGGAUCCGCUUCAUGGAAUACUGGGGAGGAGACGGCGCAAAGACCAAUAUGAGAAGGUACAUGAACCCAGGAUUCACAUUCAUCCACUGCUGUGCACAGAAGCCCCGUUGGUCCCCUUUUCUGCCUGAGCCAAUGGAGUCAUUGUCGUCUUCCUUUUCAGAGGAUUACUUAGGAGUCCUAGUGUGUUUGAAACCAGAAGGAACCUUCGAAACCAUCACCUGAUGGAUGAGAUAGCUGGUGCACAGAGAAUACCUACUGUGAAAUGUGGAACACAGUCAAGCUGUAUUAGAUAUCUGAUACAUCUCAGCAAAUAAAGAGGAUAAAAGAAGAAGCCAGAUCUUGAAGUCAUCUC